rnacentral:sRNA from 1 species
GUCAGGCAUGGUGGUGCAUGCCUGUAAUUCCAGCAACUUGGGAGGCUGAGGCAGGAGGAUCACAAGUAGAAAUCCUGCUUCAGCAACUUAGCAAUACCCUGUCUCAA